rnacentral:rRNA from 1 species
GAUGAACGCUGGCGGCGUGCCUAAUACAUGCAAGUCGAGCGAACAGACGAGGCGCUUGCUCCUCUGACGUUAGCGGCGGACGGGUGUGUAACACGUGGAUAACGUACCUAUCAGACUGGUAUAAUCUCGGGACACCGGAGCUAAUCCCGGAUAAUCUAUUGCACCGCAUGGGUCAAUAGUGAAAGACGGUUGUGCUGUCAGUUAUAGAGGGAUCCGCGCCGCAUUAGCGAGUGGGUACGGUAACGGCUUAGCAGGGCAACGAUGCGUAGCCGACGUGAUAGGGGGGUAGGCCACCUGGGAGGGGGGACGCGGUCAAUGGGCCUACGGGAGGCAGCAGUCGGCAACCGUCCGCAGCGGGGGGAAGCCUGACGGAGUAACGCCACGCCAGAGAUGAAGGUGCUCGGAUCGGAAAACUCUGUUAUGAGGGAUGAACAAAUGUGUAAGUAACUAUGCACGGCGUGACGGUAACGGAUCAGGAAGCCCCGGCUAACUACGUG